rnacentral:misc_RNA from 1 species
GAUGAAGAACGCAGCGAAAUGCGAUAAGUAGUGUGAAUUGCAGAAUUCAGUGAAUCAUCGAAUCUUUGAACGCACAUUGCGCCUUCUAGUAUUCUGGGAGGCAUGCCUGUUUGAGCGUCAUUAAACCUCUCUCAAGUAUGAUUACUUGGAUGUGAAGGAAGAGUACCUUAAACUUAAGGAGUGUUCUCCUUUGGAAUUGAUUAGCAGAUGGUAAUGUUAUUAAAUCCCUGAUGUUGUAAGAAAUAACAGUGGUUUUGUAGACUAUUAUCUAGCUUUAAAUUAUAAUUUUUAUUAUGGUUGACCUCAAAUCAGGUAAGGAUACCCGCUGAACUUAAGCAUAUCAAUAAGCGGAGGA